AACGUAGGAGACAAACGUUAUCCGGAGUUACUGGGCGUAAAGGGCGUGUAGGUGGUUGUGUAAGUCUGGCGUGAAAUUUUUCGGCUUAACCGGGAAAGGUCGUCGGAUACUGCACAACUAGAGGACGGUAGAGGCGUGUGGAAUUCCGGGUGUAGUGGUGAAAUGCGUAGAGAUCCGGAGGAACACCGGUGGCGAAGGCGGUCUGCUGGGCAGUUGCUGACGCUGAUGCGCGACAGCGUGGGGAGCAAACAGG
rnacentral:rRNA from 1 species